UACGUACCGUCCAAACGUUAUUCGGAAUUACUGGGCUUAAAGGGUACGUAGGCGGCGCUGUCAGUCGGGUGUGAAAUCCCAGGGCUCAACCCUGGAACUACGCCCGAUACUGCAGUGCUUGAGGGAGACAGAGGUAAGCGGAACUGAUGGUGGAGCGGUGAAAUGCGUUGAUAUCACCAGGAACACCAGUGGCGAAAGCGGCUUACUGGGUCUCUUCUGACGCUGAGGUACGAAAGCUAGGGGAG
rnacentral:rRNA from 1 species